AUGAACGCUGGCGGCGUGCCUAAUACAUGCAAGUCGCGCGAACAGACGAGGAGCUUGCUCCUCUGACGUUAGCGGCGGACGGGUGAGUAACACGUGGAUAACCUACCUAUAAGACUGGGAUAACUUCGGGAAACCGGAGCUAAUACCGGAUAAUAUAUUGAACCGCAUGGUUCAAUAGUGAAAGACGGUUUUGCUGUCACUUAUAGAUGGACCCGCGCCGCAUUAGCUAGUUGGUAAGGUAACGGCUUACCAAGGCAACGAUGCGUAGCCGACCUGAGAGGGUGAUCGGCCACACUGGAACUGAGACACGGUCCAGACUCCUACGGGAGGCAGCAGUAGGGAAUCUUCCGCAAUGGGCGAAAGCCUGACGGAGCAACGCCGCGUGAGUGAUGAAGGUCUUCGGAUCGUAAAACUCUGUUAUUAGGGAAGAACAAAUGUGUAAGUAACUAUGCACGUCUUGACGGUACCUAAUCAGAAAGCCACGGCUAACUACGUG
rnacentral:rRNA from 1 species